GGACAGUCUGUCAGUCAACAAACAGCAGUCUAUGAAAGUCUCUGCAGACCUGGACCAGUACAGACUGAUCCAGUCUGCUCUCCUGGAAACAUUAUCCAACAUAUUUAUGUCUGAGUCAAAUUAUCUUGUGACACAGAGAAAACUAAGACUAAAAGACUGAAUAAUUAUUAAAACGACUGGAUCCACGGGAGGAGCUUCACCAAUCAUCCUGUGAAACUCUUGAUUGAUGAUCUGGCAACACUGAAAAUCACGUGACUCUAAUGAGGUUUAUUCUGGCUGCAGCCUGAGUUUGAUCAAUUAAAACCCAUGUAAUAUUUAAUAUUUCAUCACACAGGUGCAGGAGAGAGGUGACACUGCUCUGACAUGAACUCGUGUAUUAAUACAUUCAGUUAUUAAAUACAGUGCAUCUCUAAGCGGCCUGCAGCACGAGCCACGUCCGUGUUCUGGACUCUAACGUGCGGACGCUGGUGCAGCCGCUGAUGUCGACCUCGGGAUGUUUGACCGGAAACGAAUAAAAUCCUCACGGCUCCAUCGUGUGUCUCUGUCCGACAGGAAGGACCUGAUCCGCCGGACGUUUGGUCCCCUGUUCACAGAUUGGCUGCAGCUGCUGUAGCUGCAGUCUGUCCGUCCAAUCAAGUGGAUGCUACCUGAGACCAACCAUCAACCUCUGAGACUGAAACAUAAAGCAGCAACAUGGAAGCUGCAGUUCCUCUAACGGCCACUAGAGUCUGGCUCCAGCAGUGAGUCAGUCCCCACAGACUCCCAUGUUAAAAUGUCCAACUUUACAGCAGAAAUAAACAUGUUUACA